ensembl:lncRNA
AUGGCCAUUGGCCUGAUAAUGACCAUAAGUGUUGGCAAGAUUGGAGAAACAGAUCUGGGACCAGGCAAACAAAUGAAUAUAUUUGGUGUCAGUCAUCACUGUGUUUCUCAGUGGCAUAUAAUACAUCCACCUUUUAUGAUGUUUAGUAGCGAACAUGAUCGUUUCCCUCCAGCUCUCUCUGCCUUGUUCGACACGUCGAGUCAGGGGUACGGCCAGGCACACAUCUACCCCCCCCACCACCGAAAGCCCUGUCCUCCUCAGAAACUCCUGUCCGGUCCCCUGAAUGCCCACUUUGGUACAGCAGUGGCCCCUCUAGCACAGUGUUCAGUGCAGGGUCCUCUUCCCCCACCUCAGUGAACCCAGACAUACAUUUCAGCUUCAGUGAGUAGACCACAGCCCCGUCACCGGAUCCCACAGAGGAGCUAGAGGACAACACAACACCUGGAUCCACUCCCUAUUAAUCCAUCCACCCAUCCAUCUAUUCAUCUGUCUACCCAUCUGUCCACCCACCGAGCCAUUCAUCCAUCCACACUAUGACUUCUACCCGCCUGUGAGUGCUUUCAAACUAAUCACAGUCACAUACAGUGCUGGACCCUAAGGACCGCCAGUCUCAUUUUGUGGACAAAAACAAACCAAAACCCACUGGCCCCUCCCCUCAGGCGGAUGUGUGUCCAACCAACACUCUGCCCCAGUUGAGCGACAGCGAGGGGAGCCUAUCCCCAGGCUCCUUUGCAGUGUAUAGACGGGCCUGAGGCUGGACGGAUCCCUGCCGUCUGUACUGGAUUCAGACUGCUGUCCUGCCGUCUGUCCCAGAUUCAGACUGCUGUCCUGCCGUCUGUCCCAGAUUCAGACUGCUGUCCUGCCAUCUGUCCCAGAUUCAGACUGCUGUCCUGCCGUCUGUCCCAGAUUCAGAUUGUGCUGUCCUGCCGUCUGUCCCAGAUUCAGACUGCUGUCCUGCCAUCUGUCCCAGAUUCAGACUGCUGUCCUGCCGUCUGUCCCAGAUUCAGACUGCUGUCCUGCCGUCUGUCCCAGAUUCAGAUUGUGCUGUCCUGCCGUCUGUCCUGGAUUCAGAUUGUGGCUGCUGAUUAGAGACGAUGGGAGAAACAGGAGCUGAUUAUUUCCAUGCUUCAUCCAAAUCCUAUUCUAUAUGGAACUGCACACACAAAAUGUGUCGGUGCAUGAGUACCUCCUCUCUCAGAGGCGGGAGGCAGGUUCAGAAUGUUCUGCAUUUUCAAUCAUGGCUGACCAUAUUCUUUGAAACACAGAGAUAGUUGAGCCAGUUGAUUAAAUAUGGAAUAUGGACUGUUUCCUCGAGUUUUGUUGGUGUUGUCCCUUUUCUUUUUUUUUUUUUUGUAUACUGUUUGGGUUUCCGUACUUUACAUGAUUUUGGGGGAAAGGGUACAAUACAAUGGGGAUACUAUUUCCUGUCAUUGUCUACACAGCAUUAUUAUUCUGAAAGGGUCUGAAAAACAGACAUUGCAACGUAAAACGUGAGCCGAUUACUUUCAGUCACGUUAUUAAAUAGCCGUCAGUCAAUAUGCAUGCACCACUUUGUCGCAAAAUAACAACUCCUUCUAUACACAUACUGGUUAUGUUUUAAGUGUAAAAGAUAUUUCAUACACCUCCUUCAACCUACCAAACAUAUAAACUAUACACCUGCCUCAACUCCCUUACAACGAGAAUCAGUGUUACUGAAUCUAUUUUUUUUUUACAGUGUUUUAAGGGUAAACCACUCCAGAGGAAGUAGCUGACUGUCUUUUAGGCUACUUCAGUCUGUACUGGAUCCAGUCCUCAUACUAGUUUUAAAAAACAGUCUGCUGUUUUGCCAUAGUUAAGUGUUUAAUAUUAAUUUAAACGAUUCUAUAUCAUAUGUUGUAAUGCAUAUUAUUUUGCCAUCUGUGUUGCACCUGAGAGGAUAAUUAACGUAUAUUGAAUAUGUAAAUAGGG